GAUGAACGCUGGCGGCGUGCCUAAUACAUGCAAGUUGAACGAGCGGCGGACGGGUUAGUAAUGUCUGGGAAACUGCCUGAUGGAGGGGGAUAACUACUGGAAACGGUAGCUAAUACCGCAUACCAUCAGAUGUGCCCAGAUGGGAUUAGCUAGUUGGUGGGGUAAAGGCUCACCAAGGCGACGAUCCCUAGCUGGUCUGAGAGGAUGACAAGCCACACUGUCACUGAGACACGGCCCAGACUCCUACGGGAGGCAGCAGUGGGGAAUAUUGCACAAUGGGCGCAAGCCUGAUGCAGCCAUGCCGCGUGUAUGAAGAAGGCCUUCGGGUUGUAAAGUACUUUCAGCGGGGAGGCGUUACCCGCAGAAGAAGCACCGGCUAACUCCGUGCCAGCAGCCGCGGUAAUUC
rnacentral:rRNA from 1 species